UAUUUAUUGCGAGCACCUGGAGAUUUUGAAUAGGCGUCCUUUCGAAGCCUUAUCACAUAGUAUAUUACAACGAUGAUGUUCGCUAUUUGCCAAUUACGUUAUUAGUAGAUAAUGCGCAUACACUGCGUGUGGUUAUAGAAAGGGAAUUUCGGAAUCGUUGAAAGAUCGAUCGCGAUCUUUCAUGCUGUUGUCUUUUGACCGACCAAAGUAGCAGACGUUUCUCGUGUUUUGCUGGGACAUACACGAUGAGGCUUGGAAUUUGAUUAUCAAACUCGAUUCUUCUUAGGAAAAAAAUUUCUCGUAGAACUUGAUGAUAUCGAGAGAAUUUAUUUUAACAUGUAUUACAUCCAGUAACGGUUGGAUUUAAUAUAGAUCAGUACGUACAGAAAUUAUUGAUAAUAAAAUUUUUAUACGAGAUAUUAUAUUCAUCAAACGUAAAUACUAGAAAUUCAGUCAAGACGGCACACAAGAAGAUGAAUUUUAAAAUAAGCUUAUUACUCGUACCUGCUGCCUUCAGCGUGUUUACGCAUGAGACACCAGUAUCUCCUUCUUGUGGGAGAACGCAGAUGAUGCCUAGAAAAUGUUACUAUGAGUUAGACCAUGGUGAAUGCUAUGCCUAUCCAUGGAAGAAUGUAGUGAGAUAUUGGUAUAAUGUGACCGAUGGAACAUGUAUACCUUUUGUUAGAUACUCUUGUUCUGGUGGAAAUGAAAAUAAUUUUGCAACAAAUCUGGAUUGCAUGACUACAUGCUGUCACAGAUACAUACCUUUCUAAAGUUCCAAAUUUGAAAUCUUUUGAUAAUUGAUAAGUAUUUGUAAUAGUUAAAUAUUAAGUUUCAAUAGAAGUACUAAUUAAACAACUCUGUGGUCUUUAUUAAAUACUUGUAAAAGUGUUUUAUUUUUAUGUUAAAUAACUGUAAUA